GGGGACCUUCGGGGCCCUGCACCUCGGGCCCAAGGGCCCCNAAACAGACGGAAGACAGAAA
ncrna:unclassified sequences L2-Alphaproteobacteria ribosomal protein leader